GGGAUAAGGGAUGGCAGAGCUGGAGGGAUGAGGUCAGAGGGGAACAGAGGGUCAGCUUAUUACCGCCUUGUGGAAACACAGGCUCUUGCUUGAGAUGGGAAGUACUAAUUCACAGAAGCUUGGCACUGAAGCUCCUUUGAAAAUAGAAGCCUAAUUAUAAUAAUAGCUACCAUUUACUGAGCAUUUACUGUGUGCCAAGCUCUCUUCUAAGGCGCUUUACAUGUGUUAACUCAUAGAAGCUUGGCAACUAAGAACCUUCAAGAAUAGAACCUGAAUUACCAUAAUGGCUCACAGCGGACCAGGCCCUGGGCUAAGCGCUGUAUAUGGACGAUCACAUCGGAUCCUUAUGAGUGUGUCGUCAUCAUCAUAAUUCUUAGAGGCGUAGGGGCUACUAUCAUGACCAUUUUACAACUGCUACAACCAGGGCACAGAGAGGUUGAGUAAUCUUCUAGAGGUCACACAGCUGGGAAGAAGCAGAGGCCAGGUUUGAAUCCAGACAACUGGAGGUAAGGCACCCAUUCUUAGCCACUAAGCCACACACCAGAAAUGGCUUGUCCACAGCCACCAUCUGACUUGCAGGAGUGUAUUUGGUCUCCAGAGUUAUUGAGGUUUUUUUAAUAAUAUUGGUUACCAACAUUUAAAAAUGGGCAGGUUUGACACAAAAAUGGAAGUUUCUGGCUUCCUUGUGAGCUUGAUUGCUGAACCCACAAUCCCAUGGGGCGGUAGUUUGCUGGAGCUGAGUAGGGGUCACCUCCUAUUAAUGGGGCAUUCCCUCCCGCAUGCCCAGUCCCCACUGUCUGGCAUCUGGACCCCUUACACCCUGCUUGCCUCACUGAUUUAUGGUACCUGCUUGGCCCCAAAGAGCAUUUACAUUCUGACGCCUGUUACAGGACCUUAACAGCUUUCAAAACCCAUACUUUUCAUCCUAGAAGCUCAGAAUCUUAUAUUUAUGCACUCUUUGAGACUUUCAUAACCACUAUAGCUUAGCAUCAUUGAAUCUCAGAAUCAUCAAAGCAGAAAUUCACAGCUCAUUAAAACAACCUGGAUGGAUCUUAUUUCCUGGAGCAGCAUGCCUAAGCCUUCUUCUGCCCUAAGACAGGGCUUUCUAAGCAUAGAAGUAGCAAAUUAUCCAUUCGUCAUCAGAAGUUCCUAAGGAUCACGAGAGACUGGGAAUCAAGAGAUCUAGUCUCCUGCCAGUGGGGUCAUUCAGUUCUUCAGGGCCCAGGCAGGAUAUGGAGACCAAGCUAGGAAUUCCAGAGGACCCAGUACCGGGAACUGGUUACACAGGUACUAAAACGCUGAGAGCACAAACAUGGAAAAGUGAGGUAACUGAGAAAUUAGUGUCUGCAAGAAGCUCCCACCUCUAGGACUGGGAUGCAGAAAGAGAAGCGCAAUGACCAGAACCCAGUGGGAGCUUGGUGGGCAGGCCAAGCCACGUGUAUGGCUGGUGCAGGGACUGGCUACCACACAGCUGCUGCUUAAACCCCAAGAGGGGCACAGUGCCUUGUGCUGAGAGUGUAGAAAGGUAUUGGAGCCCGAACUGCUGCUGGGGGGGUUCCAGCAGGAGCCCAAGGCAAGGUGAGUCCCUUCUCCCCUCUUCCGACCUUCCUUCCUUCUGCCCAGACCUCUUGUGGGAUGAACUUAAGGAAGCCAGCUCUCCAGGGAGUCUGGGAAGCAUAGCUGCAGAAAGCCCAGCCUCACGGAGCAGUGUGGAAGGGUGGGCUGAGGCUGAGAAAUAGGUAAACAACUGGGCACAGUGAAGGCGUUCUUUCUUGAGCCUCCAUGGUAAGCGCUGUCCUAGGUGCUGGGGAUGAAGCAAUGAGGAAGACAACCCACUUGCCCUCAGAAGCUUGGAUUCUAGAGGAAGGACACAGACGAUGAGAGAACCACAGGUGUGAGCAUUCCAAGUGUUGAAGAGUGCUGGGAAUAAACUACAUCAGGCUAAGGGUUGGAGGUGCUAUUUUAGCCAAGGAGGACCUCUCUGAAGUGGCAGGUAUUGAGACCUGAAUAAUGAGGAGGCAGCCUUGCAAAGUUCUGGGUGAGAGGGAACAGCAAGUGCAAAGGCUCUGAGGCAGAUGCCAGCCUGGCAUGUGUGGCUAGAGUGUAGUGAAAAAGACAGAACCGGGAGGGAGUUGAGAUUGCUUAAUGGGCUGGGACCGAGUCAUUGUUGGGUCUUGUGGGCCUGGGUAAGGCCUUUGGAUGUUACUUAUGGGAUGCCGUUGGAGGGUUCUGACUGAGGAGUGAUGGACGCUGACUUACAUAGACACGGGGUGGUGUGUAGUAGAGAGACUGGAAGGGUGGGGGGAGCGGUAGUGAUAGCAGACCCAGCCUCCUGCUGUCUUCUUGAUCUGCCAUCCUGUUGUCGCUUUCAUGGUCCAAGAUGGCUGGAUACCAUGUCCACAUUCCAGGCGGGAAGGUCGAGGAAAGGCAGGUUCCUUUCUGAAGCUUGAGGACUCUACCCAGGAAUUUAGUCAGAACUCAGUCACAGGGCCACAUCUAGCUGCAAGGAAAUCUGGGAAAGGCAGUCUUUGUAGCCACCGUGUGCCUAGCUAAAAAGUGGGAGAUAGCUCAGUCUCUACCAUAACCAUCUCACCUGUGGGCUUUCAAAAUAUCCCUCAAUUCAGAGUCUGUGAUUAUUGUAUGCAAGUCAUCGACCAAUGUCUCUAGGGGCAGGGCAGGUAAUGCAAGGGAGUAAAACUGGUCCAGUGGAACUCAGCCCAGGGUUGGGCCUUUCAAGAGCUGAAAAUAGGAUCUUAAUGGAAUAUCUCCCUGUGUUGGCCAAAUACAACAGGAAACAGAAGGUACCUCUCUUUGACUUCAAACCAGCUUCCCCACAGGGCCAGGCCAGGUCUGCCCUGAGCUCCCCACUCCCCAUGCCCUUAUGUUCUCUGGGAAUUCCUGCUCAAAAGCCAGAGUUCCUUGUUUAGACAUUUUAUUAUGGACCUUUUGUUUUUAGAUACUAUUUCUGUUAGUUUAUUCAUGCCAUCUCACCUACACAUGCAAAAAUAUUCCGUGACCAGAAUGGUACAUAAAAUUACUUAAAUGAACAAUAAAUUAUCUGGGGAGGAGGAGGGCAGAGCCAUCCAAUGCCAUGGCCCCUCCUUGAGUGGGAAAGGCUGGCAGGGGGUGGGAAGAGACAAGGGCCCAGAUUGCAACCGUCACAUGACUCAGUACAGCCUCCGACUUUGCUGUCCCAUCCCCAAAGGCUCAAGUUGCUCCACGUGUGGGACCCAUUCGGUGGCAUUACAGGCAGGCAACACCUCACUUUCCCUCCCCCAUUCAGGCCCAGAUCCAGGCACUUGGCUCUUGCAGCCCCAUGGCCUCCAUCUGGGAAGAAUUCAUGGUGGUAACACAAUCUGCAGCUAGUUAUGAUUUCAAACUAUUUAAUUGGGAACGAGGAAGAUACAAAUAACAAACUUCCCUUUCUUUCUUUCUUUCUCACUAUUGUUUGAUUUUACUGUUUCCCUGAAGGCUUUUGUGUCCUCCAAAGACGGAGGCUCUAAAUGAGCAUCUUCUGGGUCCUGUUGAUCAGGAGUCCUUUGCCUUUCCAGGGAGGAAAGUAAAUCCCUCCCACCCCAUAUCAGAUGGGUGUCCCACCAGCCACAGAGCUUCCAUCGCCCUCGGGACGGCUGGAGCCACACUCAGAGCUCCCCCCGGGCGUGCCGGAUGUAGUGCUGAUGCAGCCCUGCUUCCUGGGCAAAGUCCUGCCCGCACUCAGUGCAGGCGAAGGGGCCAGGAAGGGGGUGGGCCUCGUGCGCCUGGCGAUGCCGCCUCAGAGAAGAGGCCUGCCCAAAGGUCUUGCCGCAGUCAGGACAGGGGAAGGUGGGUGGCGUGGUGGUGGGCGCAGCCGGCUGGGAGGGCCUGGCCGCUGGACCGUGGCUGCGCUGGUGGGUGAUCAGGGCCUUGGAGGAGGGAAAGGAGCGGGCGCACGUGAAGCAGAUGAAGAGGACCCCCUGCAGCUUCUGGGCCACGAAGUCCGCUGGGUGCUCCCGCUUCAUGUGACGCUCCUGGAACUUGGAGUCUGCGAAGGUGAUGAGACAGCGGGUGCACUGCAGGGCCCCCAAGUGGCCUGAGGGACAUGAGGAGAGGUUGGGGGAGGCCAGCAGGAGUCUCGAGGGCCUCUCCCAGCCUCAGAAUCGCACCAACAGUGAGCAUGCAGGGCUUACUAUGUGCGAGGUGCUAUGCCAGGCCUGGAGAGCAGACUUACUGGACCUGUUUUACGGAUGAGCAGACUGAGGCUCAAAAAGGUUAGGUAACUUGCCGACAGUCAUGAAGCUAGGAAAUGAAAUGGCGGAGUCAGGACUGGAACCCAGGGAGCCUGCCCUUCCUACAGAGCCAUGUGAUUACAGCACAGCCUCUGGAGCCAGACUGCCUGGAAUUGACUCCUGGUUCUACCACUUCCGAGGCAAGUAGAAACGGCGUUUUCAUCUGGAAAAUGGGGUAAUGACCAUAUCAGUAUCUACUUUAUAGGGCUGUUGUAAGGAAUAAACGAAUUAACAUAUAAAAA